UACGGAAGGCAGCAGUGGGGAAUAUUGCACAAUGGGCGAAAGCCUGAUGCAGCUAUGCCGCGUGUAUGAAGAAGGCCUUAGGGUUGUAAAGUACUUUCAUCGGGGAGGAAAAACAAAACUAAUAAUUUUAUUUCUUGACGUUACCCGAAAAAGAAGCACCGGCUAACUCCGUGCCAGCAGCCGCGGUAAUACGGAGGGUGCUAGCGUUAAUCAGAAUUACUGGGCGUAAAGAGCACGUAGGUGGUUUUUUUAAGUCAGAUGUGAAAUCCCUGGGCUUAAUCUGGAACUGCAUUUUGAAACUGAAAUACUAGAGUAUCGUAGAGGGAGGUAGAAUUCUAGGUGUAGCGGUGAAAUGCGUAGAUAUCUGGAGGAAUACCUGUGGCGAAAGCGGCCUCCUAAACGAAUACUGACACUGAGGUGCGAAAGCGUGGGGAGCAAACAGGGAUUAGAUACC
rnacentral:rRNA from 1 species